AGAGUUUGAUCCUGGCUCAGAAUCAACGCUGGCGGCGUGCCUAACACAUGCAAGUCGAACGAGAAAGUGGAGCAAUCCAUGAGUAAAGUGGCGACCGGGUGAGUAACACGUGACCAAUCUACCCUCGAGUGGGGGAUAACUCCGGGAAACCGGGGCUAAUACCGCAUAACAUCUUUGGAUCGGAAGAACUGAAGAUCAAAGGAGCAAUUCGCUUGAGGAGGAGGUCGCGGCUGAUUAGCUAGUUGGCGGGGUAAUGGCCCACCAAGGCGAAGAUCGGUAGCCGGCCUGAGAGGGCGCACGGCCACACUGGAACUGAAACACGGUCCAGACUCCUACGGGAGGCAGCAGUGGGGAAUUUUGCGCAAUGGGGGAAACCCUGACGCAGCAACGCCGCGUGGAGGAUGAAGUCCCUUGGGACGUAAACUCCUUUCGACCGGGACGAUUAUGACGGUACCGGUGGAAGAAGCCCCGGCUAACUUCGUGCCAGCAGCCGCGGUAAUACGAGGGGGGCAAGCGUUGUUCGGAAUUAUUGGGCGU
rnacentral:rRNA from 1 species